UGGACAACCUGCCCCUCUCUCUGGGAUAACCCCGGGAAACCGGAGCUAAUACCGGAUACUCCGGCUGGAUCGCAUGGUCCGGCCGGGAAAGGUCCGCCGGAGAGGGAUGGGCCCGCGGCCUAUCAGCUUGUUGGUGGGGUCAUGGCUCACCAAGGCGACGACGGGUAGCUGGUCUGAGAGGACGACCAGCCACACUGGAACUGAGAUACGGUCCAGACUCCGUACGGGAGGCA
rnacentral:rRNA from 1 species